rnacentral:rRNA from 1 species
AAGUUUUGAGUUUAUCUUAAACACUUGUUACAUGGCACCUGAUACUUUAUUACAGUUUCUAGUGGCGACGGGUGAGUAACACGUUGGAACCUGCCCCAAAGUGAGGAAUAAGCCACCGAAAGGUGGUCUAAUACUUCAUAAUAUCCAUCUCGUAUGGAUUAAAGCUUUAUGCGCUUUGGGAGGGGCCUGCGUAACAUUAGCUAGUUGGUGAGGUAAAAGCUCACCAAGGCUUCGAUGUUUAACUGGUUUGAGAGGAUGACCAGUCACACUGGGACUGAGAUACGGCCCAGACUCCUACGGGAGGCAGCAGUAAGGAAUCUUCCACAAUGGGGCAACCCUGAUGGAGCAAUACCGCGUGCAGGAUGAAGCGUUUCGGCGUGUAAACUGCUUUUAUCACCGAAGAUUAUGACUGUAGGUGAAGAAUAAGGACCGGCUAACUACGUG